rnacentral:rRNA from 1 species
UGGGGAAUAUUGGACAAUGGGGGCAACCCUGAUCCAGCAAUGCCGCGUGUGUGAAGAAGGUCUUCGGAUUGUAAAGCACUUUCGACGGGGACGAUGAUGACGGUACCCGUAGAAGAAGCCCCGGCUAACUUCGUGCCGGCAGCCGCGGUAAUACGAAGGGGGCUAGCGUUGCUCGGAAUGACUGGGCGUAAAGGGCGUGUAGGCGGUUUACACAGUCAGAUGUGAAAUCCCCGGGCUUAACCUGGGAGCUGCAUUUGAUACGUGUAGACUAGAGUGUGAGAGAGGGUUGUGGAAUUCCCAGUGUAGAGGUGAAAUUCGUAGAUAUUGGGAAGAACACCGGUGGCGAAGGCGGCAACCUGGCUCAUGACUGACGCUGAGGCGCGAAAGCGUGGGGAGCAAACAGGAUUAGAUACCCUGGUAGUCCACGCUGUAAACGAUGUGUGCUAGAUGUUGGGUAACUUUGUU